UACGUAGGGGGCAAGCGUUGUCCGGAUUUAUUGGGCGUAAAGGGCGUGUAGGCGGUCAGGUAGGUCCGUUGUGAAAACUCGAGGCUCAACCUCGAGACGCCGAUGGAAACCAUCUGACUAGAGUCCGGAAGAGGAGAGUGGAAUUCCUGGUGUAGCGGUGAAAUGCGCAGAUAUCAGGAAGAACACCCGUGGCUAAGGCGGCUCUCUAGUACGGUACUGACGCUGAGACGCGAAAGCGUGGGGAGCGAACAGG
rnacentral:rRNA from 1 species